rnacentral:misc_RNA from 1 species
CUUGNGCGAGAGUAGUACUAGGAUGGGUGACCCCCUGGGAAGUCCUCGUGUUGCACCCCCCUUCUUUUUGCAUCUUUUUCGCCUUUUUGGGGGAAGGUGGCGAAAGGAAACGCGCGCGUACGAGAGAACGCGGCUCAGUAAACGCGCACGCGCGACGNAAAACUCACAACGCGCGGCACCGACACGUGUUGGGAAUAUAGGAGUAAAAAGGGAGAACCCUANCGGGUGCGAU